AAACAUUAUUCAAUCUAGUAGUUGACUUUGUUCUUGACUAAUUUGGGUGCCUUCGUGUGGAUACCAUGAGUUUGAUUCGACUCUUGAAUAGGUUUCCAAAAUAAUCGAAUCAAAGAGAAGGAGCCGUCAACAAAGAUGGCUUGUGUUCAUGUAAUGUCUUUGAUAUAUAAGGUCAUCUACUUAUAUGUUGAUGAUUAUAACGAUGCUGGUUUGCAUCCGAAAAAGUUUCAACUGUAACAUGUUCGUAUUUUACACAUGUGCCGCAGGUUGCAGAGAUUUUUUCUGUCGAAAGUAGAACAGAACUUUCAGUGCAUCGUUCUUCUUUUUUUAUUUUUUUUAUUUUCGCAUUGUGUAAUAUUUUGAUGGGCAAACCCGGUUUUAGAUUUCUGGUUUUACAUUCUCUAUCUAUUUUCCUUAUUGUCCGAGAUUCAAUUGUUACUGGAGAGAGGAGAACCAAACAAUGAAACAAACACUCUGUUUUUGAGA